rnacentral:rRNA from 1 species
GUGCAGCAGGCACGAAUCUUCCACAAAUGGACGAAAGUCUGAUGGAGCGACGCCGCGUGCGGGAUGAAGGCCUUAUGGGUUGUAAACCGCUGUCAGGGGGGAAGAACAUCGGAAUGAACAAUACUCAUUCCGACUGACGUUACCCCCAGAGGAAGCUCCGGCCAACUCCGUGCCAGCAGCCGCGGUAAUACGGGGGGAGCAAGCGUUGUCCGGAAUUAUUGGGCGUAAAGGGCGUGUAGGCGGCGAGGUAAGUCGAAUGUGAAAUCUCAC